CCUCGUAGACCGCUGCGACUCUCGCGAACUGCUUGUCGCGAUGGAUCAGGAGGAC
rnacentral:miRNA from 1 species